rnacentral:rRNA from 1 species
CGUACGACGAGUUUGAUCCUGGCUCAGAAUGAACGCUGGCGGCAGGCCUAACACAUGCAAGUCGAACGAAGCCUUCGGGGUUAGCGGCGGACGGGUGAGUAACGCGUGGGAACGUGCCCUUUGCUACGGAAUAGCCCCGGGAAACUGGGAGUAAUACCGUAUGUGCCCUUCGGGGGAAAGAUUUAUCGGCAAAGGAUCGGCCCGCGUUGGAUUAGGUAGUUGGUGGGGUAAUGGCCUACCAAGCCGACGAUCCAUAGCUGGUUUGAGAGGAUGAUCAGCCACACUGGGACUGAGACACGGCCCAGACUCCUACGGGAGGCAGCAGUGGGGAAUCUUAGACAAUGGGCGCAAGCCUGAUCUAGCCAUGUCGCGUGAUCGAUGAAGGCCUUAGGGUUGUAAAGAUCUUUCAGUGGGGAAGAUAAUGACUGUACCCACAGAAGAAGCCCCGGCUAACUCCGUA